GUGACCGGAGGCUGCCGCGCGCCCCGUUCUCCAGAGAAACAAUCCCCGGAGAGAAAGACGGCCAGUGUGAAAUAUCAGCUGUUUCACAAAUUCUGAGGGAGCUGUAUUAUUGUCAUUUCACUGGAAUGAAUUCACCUACUGAUUAUUGAUUUAGAACUUCAUGCAAGAGUGGGGACCAGACCCAAGAUCACCACGUAAAACU
rnacentral:lncRNA from 10 species